GAGAAGAGCGAGUAUAAUCUUUAAAACUCAAAGUAUUGGUAUGGGAGAAUAGUAUGUCUUUAUCUCUAUGAUCGUUUUCCUUUUAUAUUAUAAGAAAAUGGAGAUAAAUAUAGCAUUCCCUGAUAAUCCGGUGAUGAUGUGGCCGACUCGUGAGUAAAGGAUCUUCAACGGCUAAUUGGUCGGGAAUCCCGUGAUCACAAGCGUAAAGGAAAUAUGCUGAAUUGUAGCUAUUUAACAGUAAC
rnacentral:lncRNA from 1 species